AACGAACGCUGGCGGCAUGCCUAACACAUGCAAGUCGAACGAGACCUUCGGGUCUCGUGGCGCACGGGUGCGUAACGCGUGGGAACCUGCCCUUAGGUUCGGAAUCACUCCCCGAAAGGGGUGCUAAUACCGGAUAAUGUCUUCGGACCCAAGAUUUAUCGCCUUUGGAUGGGCCCGCGUUGGAUUAGCUAGUUGGUAGGGUAACAGCCUACCAAGGCGACGAUCCAUAGCUGGUCUGAGAGGAUGAUCAGCCACACUGGGACUGAGACACGGCCCAGACUCCUACGGGAGGCAGCAGUGGGGAAUAUUGGACAAUGGGCGAAAGCCUGAUCCAGCAAUGCCGCGUGAGUGAUGAAGGCCUUAGGGUUGUAAAGCUCUUUUACCCGGGAUGAUAAUGACAGUACCGGGAGAAUAAGCUCCGGCUAACUCCGU
rnacentral:rRNA from 1 species